AAGCAUGGUUCGCUGAAUCGUGCCGAACUGGACCAGUCGGGACUGGCACGGUUCAGCCUCUCAAAUCAAGAUUGGGCUAGUUCGCCUAACUCCUCUCCUGGUCCGUGCGCUUGCAUUUGCCUAUGAAAGCGACCUCGAUAUGGCCGCUUGCAUUCGAUGAUUUUUGGUAAGUCCCCUCUUUCUCGGUCGCGUUAGGAUUAAAAUUUCCCUCCCCCUCCUCUCUUUCUCUCUCUCGUGUUAAGUUAGGGUUUUCCUCGGCCCUCCCUCUUCUUUCCUCUCCCUCCCUCUCUCUCCCGCUCCCCUCUUCCAAUGAAGACAAUGAGGGCUUUCAAGCCCUCUUGCUCUCGGCCUC
rnacentral:lncRNA from 1 species